AUUGAACGCUGGCGGCAGGCCUAACACAUGCAAGUCGAGCGAGCGGCGGACGGGUGAGUAAUGUAUGGGGACUGCCCGAUAGAGGGGGAUAACUACUGGAAACGGUAGCUAAUACCGCAUACUAUCGGAUAACCCAUAUGGGAUUAGCUAGUAGGUGAGGUAAUGGCUCACCUAGGCGACGAUACCUAGCUCGUCUGAGAGGAUGAUCAGACAAACCGGGAUUGCGACAAGGCCCAGACUCCGACGGAGGCAGCGGUGGGGAAUAUUGCACAAGGGGCGCAAGCCUGAUGCAGCCAUGCCGCGGGUAUUAAGAAGGCCCUAGGGUUGUAAAGUACUUUCAGUCUGGAGGCGUUACCGACAGAAGAAGCACCGGCUAACUCCGUGCCAGCAGCCGCGGUAAUUC
rnacentral:rRNA from 1 species